rnacentral:rRNA from 1 species
GCUCAGAUUGAACGCUGGCGGCAGGCCUAACACAUGCAAGUCGAGCGGUAACAGAAAGAAAGCUUGCUUUCUUUGCUGACGAGCGGCGGACGGGUGAGUAAUGCCUAGGGAUCUGCCCAGUCGAGGGGGAUAACAGUUGGAAACGACUGCUAAUACCGCAUACGCCCUACGGGGGAAAGGAGGGGACCUUCGGGCCUUUCGCGAUUGGAUGAACCUAGGUGGGAUUAGCUAGUUGGUAAGGUAAUGGCUUACCAAGGCGACGAUCCCUAGCUGUUCUGAGAGGAUGAUCAGCCACACUGGGACUGAGACACGGCCCAGA